CUUCAAAACAGGGUAUUGUUUACUUUUAUAUAUAAGGAUUAUGCAGUUAAUACUAGAUUUUGUUUUAAUUAAUAAUGGGGGAGGGGGUCUGAAAAUCCAUCAUUUGGCCGGACAUCCUUUGUGAAUGGCCCCUUAGUGUUUCAAAUUUUGUUUUUGUAUUUCAACAUUUAUUUUUGUGUUUCAACUUUCUAUUUUUGUUUCAACUUUUUAUUUUUGUGUUUCAACUUUUUAUUUUUGUCUUUGUUUUUCUUUCAAAAUUUUUGUUGAAAAUCACUUUUGCAAUUUGCACAAAAUGUUUAUUGAAAAAUUUAGUUUUUGAAAUAAUUUUUUUGGAUAGCAUACACCAUGAUGCAUUGCGGGGAUAAACAAUAUGGUGGAUUUACCA